UACGUAGGGGGCUAGCGUUAUCCGGAAUUACUGGGCGUAAAGGGUGCGUAGGUGGUUUCUUAAGUCAGAGGUGAAAGGCUACGGCUCAACCGUAGUAAGCCUUUGAAACUGAGAAACUUGAGUGCAGGAGAGGAGAGUAGAAUUCCUAGUGUAGCGGUGAAAUGCGUAGAUAUUAGGAGGAAUACCGGUUGCGAAGGCGGCUCUCUGGACUGUAACUGACACUGAGGCACGAAAGCGUGGGGAGCAAACAGG
rnacentral:rRNA from 1 species